AUUGAACGCUGGCGGCGUGGAUUAGGCAUGCAAGUCGUACGAGAAUCGUAGCAAUACGAGGAAAGUGGCGGAAGGGAGAGGAUUACGUGGGAAUCUACCCUCAGAACUGGGAUAGCGGCGGGAAACUGCCGGUAAUACCAGAUAAUGUCUGUGGACCAAAGGUGUGAUUCCGUCUGGGGAUGAGCCCACGUCCUAUUAGCUAGUUGGCAGGGUAAUGGCCUACCAAGGCAAUGAUGGGUAGCGGGUGUGAGAGCAUGACCCGCCUCACUGGGACUGAGAACUGCCCAGACACCUACGGGUGGCUGCAGUCGAGAAUCUUCGGCAAUGAGCGCAAGCUUGACCGAGCGACGCCGCGUGCGGGAUGAAGGCCUUCGGGUUGUAAACCGCUGUCGUAGGGGAGCAAGAGAUGAGGGUACUCCCUCUGAUUUGAGCGAUCCUAGGAGGAAGGACGGGCUAAGUUCGUGCCAGCCGCCGCGGUAACAC
rnacentral:rRNA from 1 species